GAAACAACCUUCUUUAUCCAAGA
rnacentral:piRNA from 1 species